GACGAACGCUGGCGGCGUGCUUAACACAUGCAAGUCGAACGGAAAGGCCCUGCUUUUGUGGGGUGCUCGAGUGGCGAACGGGUGAGUAACACGUGAGUAACCUGCCCUUGACUUUGGGAUAACUUCAGGAAACUGGGGCUAAUACCGGAUAGGAGCUCCUGCUGCAUGGUGGGGGUUGGAAAGUUUCGGCGGUUGGGGAUGGACUGGCGGCUUAUCAGCUUGUUGGUGGGGUAGUGGCUUACCAAGGCUUUGACGGGUAGCCGGCCUGAGAGGGUGACCGGCCACAUUGGGACUGAGAGACGGCCCAGACUCCUACGGGAGGCAGCAGUGGGGAAUAUUGCACAAUGGGCGGAAGCCUGAUGCAGCAACGCCGCGUUCGGGAUGACGGCCUUCGGGUUGUAAACCGCUUUCGCCUGUGACGAAGCGUGAGUGACGGUAAUGGGUAAAGAAGCACCGGCUAACUACGUG
rnacentral:rRNA from 1 species